rnacentral:lncRNA from 1 species
AUGGGAGGGAGGGAGGGAGGGAGAGAGACAGAGGGAGACGGAAGGGAGGAGGGAGAGAGACAGAAGGAGAUGGGAGGGAGGGAGGGAGGGAGAGGCAGAGGGAGACGGAAGGGAGGAGGGAGAGAGACAGAAGGAGAUGGAAGGGAGGGAGAGGCAGAGGGAGACGGAAGGGAGGGAGGGAGAGGCAGAGGGAGACGGAAGGGAGGAGGGAGAGAGACAGAAGGAGAUGGAAGGGAGGGAGAGAGACAGAGGGAGAUGGAAGGGAGGGAGAGAGACAGAGGGAGAUGGAAGGGAGGGAGAGAGACAGAGGGAGAUGGAAGGGAGGGAGAGAGACAGAGGGAGAUGGAAGGGAGGGAGAGAGACAGAGGGAGAUGGAAGGGAGGGAGAGAGACAGAGGGAGAUGGAAGGGAGGGAGAGAGACAGAGGGAGAUGGAAGGGAGGAGGGAGAAAGACGAAGGGAGGAGGGAGAGAGACGAAGGGAGGAGGGAGAUGGAAGGGAGGGAGAGAGACAGAGGGAGAUGGAAGGGAGGGAGAGAGACAGAGGGAGAUGGAAGGGAGGGAGAGAGACAGAGGGAGAUGGAAGGGAGGGAGAGAGACAGAGGGAGAUGGAAGGGAGGGAGAGAGACAGAGGGAGAUGGAAGGGAGGAGGGAGAAAGACGAAGGGAGGAGGGAGAGAGACGAAGGGAGGAGGGAGAGAGACGAAGGGAGGAGGGAGAUGGUGGUCCUUGUGUUGGUUUACAUGAGAAAAGGAAGGAAGGAGGGAGGGGUAGGAGAGGAGUGGUGGAGGAGGAGAGAAAAAGAGAGGAGGGAGGGAGGAGAGGAAUGGAGAAGGAGGGAAGGAGAGGAGUGGAGUGGAGGGGGAGAGAGGAGGGAGGAGAGGAAUGGGGAAGGAGGGAAGGAGAGGAGUGGAGGGAAGGGAAGGAGGGAAGGAGAGGAGUGGAGGGAGUGGAGUGGAGGAGGAGAGAGGGAGAGAGGAGGGAGGGAGGAGAGGAAUGGGGAAGGAGGGAAGGAGAGGAGUGGAGGGAGUGGAGUGGAGGAGGAGAGAGGGAGAGAGGAGGGAGGGAGGAGAGGAAUGGGGAAGGAGGGGGAGAGGAGGAUACUGUGUAUUGA